ACACAUCAUCAAACCUAUAGAACAUUCAACGGUGUUCGUAUGAGAGCUGUAUAAUAUAUUUAAUUGGAUUUGGAAUUGCAGUCGAUGUUUGAAAUAUCGCAAUGGCAAAAGACCGUUUGGAUGUCGUACCUUGGUAGGUGUUUGCACUCUGCAUGUUGAAAACAGAUUGGACAAGUUGAUUGGACUCUCUGAAGACUGAAAUACAAAACCUCUCAAAUAAUGGGGCAAAUAUGUUGAUAAUGGAGAAGGACAUCAUUAGUAUGAGAAUUUUAAUCACUAUGGACGUUGUCAUCUCUCUACUUUAUAGAAAUCUUACUCUUCAUAUUGCCAUCUAUUCAAAUCUUCUGUAUGACAUUAUAUAGUGCUAUAAAAGUAAUGAACCCCUUAGAGAUUUCUUCUAUUUCCAGUGGUGUUUCAAAAUAAGCAGUGUCGAUGUCAUGAAAAGAGAAUCGGAAUAAAUAGUUUUUCAAAUGGCAAUUUAAUUUAUGAAGAGAAACAAGCUAUUGAAUUUAUUUUUUUUAGCAUUUUAUUUUAACUAUGAUUAACAACAUUUUUGGAAUAAUUUUAGUUUCGCCAACCAAAACAAGACCUUGUUACUGCCGGAUGCGCAAAAAUGAUUUGUAAAGCACAUUUCAGGAACGAGGCAGUUCAAGGUACUUUACGUCAUGAAGUCACAAAAGUCAUAGAAACACAGUCAAAUAUUGAAACAUUGCAUUGUGUCGAUGAAUUUCAAAAUGUUGAUUGUUUCAUUAAUGAUAUUUCCAGUGUUGUUGGUCUGCAUGAGCCAGUUCUCCAUAUGGACUGGACAGUGGAGCAUUGGACGGCGAACUAUUAGAAAUGCUGGGUCGUACAGAUAGGAGCUUGGUAUUGCCAGCCAUGAAUGGAAGUUGUCUGAGGUUAUAUCUCAAAAAGAUGCAUUGUGGACUGUAGCGGGUUCAUCCUGAAAAGGUUGUCAGUCAAUCGCAGGCUCAAGAUUGACAGACCAUUGUCCCACUCAUCACAUGAAGUGCACUCAGAUGGACCUUAGUCAACAAUGAGGCUACAGCACAAGAAAUUUUAUUAUGUGGGCAUUUUUGAGUAUAUUGCCUGAAAUUGAGAUGGAAGAUUUUAGAAAGCCAAUGAUUCUACGGUGCAGCCCAAAUGGUUUACCUUAGUGGUUCUUUUUUUUUUUUUUCCCCAGCUCCCUUCUCCUCUCCCAUUUACAGUAACCAGAAAAGAAAAUGCAGCCUCUUUCUUUAUACCUUUAAAAGAAAAACAAAUGUCUUGGUGUGUUAUAAACGGUGUUGCUUUUAUUGAGAAGAACAACCUUCAUUUUUACUGAACUGGAAACUUGAACAAAAAUUGUUGAAAUGAAUUAGAUCUGUUUUUUUAAAGUCUUCUCAAUAUUGGAAUAAAAAAAAUGAAAAACAAUAGCCUGCUGAGGAUAAAACGUAUAAAAGGAGUUUUAGUGUGGAGGAAAAAAAACCCUAUUCUGUAAAAAAAAAAAAAAAAAAAAUCGUCUGGAUUACAACUAAGAGGCUAAGAAGCACAUGAGCUCACAAAAGCACAAGAGCGAGGCCACAGGAGGAUGACGGUCACCCUUGGCUUUAUCUGAGACAGAUGACAGCAAAGCCUGUAUUGGAGCAAACGCUCCUGCACUCAGAUCAGAUGAUCAGCAGGGAGACGGAUCUGCAGAUGGACGGAGGUUGUUUUGUAAAGGGCAGAACACACUGGGGGUGAAUGAUGCAAGGGGGGAAAAAAAACAACAACAAAAAAACACACCUCCUUUAAUUUAUGUUUACCAAGCCUAAACUGGCAGCUGCAGCAGACUGCAGCUCUGUGGAGUGGCCUUCUGAUUCUUCAUCGCCUUUGUGCAAAUAUUACAGGCCACUCCUAAUUUCAUUUUUUUUCUAAUAUGAAACAUGUUUUUUUUUUUUUUUUAUCUUCUUAAACAAUCAUGACAGAUUUUAUUUUAUUUCCCCCCCCAGCCUGUCAAAGCUGUUCACAUUCCCCACCUCACCCAGCUGGACCACUGUCGACCUCCUGCUGCUGUAAUUUCUGCUGUGAGUAUGAGGUAAUCCUUCCCCAACAAAGCACAUACGCCUGCUAUUGUUAAAAAAGAAAUGAUUAGCGCCUCUUUGACUCAAGUGAGGAAGAACACACAUUGACGUGGAGAAUCAGGUGAACGGAGGGGAUCGUGACUCAAGCAACUAGAAAAAGAGGAUUGAACUAAUCCCUGGGCCCAGAUACAGAAAAGUGGAUAUAAACGAAACAUUGUUCAUCUGAGUUUUAAUACACGCAUGUAAAAUACACAUAAUACACAUUUUGUCACUUUACAAGCGCAAACUCAAGUGACUUUUAUUGGGAACAUCUGUAGUAAGAAUACUAAUAUGGGGACUUCUGAAAAUCAUUUGUUGAACUGGAUUUUUGUUUAGGGGCAUCAUGUAAAAGGGGAGGUACACUGAGGAAUGCAACACAAAUAAUUUCCUUCUUUUUCCACUAUAAUGCACCACAAGAAUUCUCGGUGACUCAAAACUAAAUAGCAGUGUAGCAGGGAAUGGUGUUUUGUCUGUAGCUGUUAUUGAUGCGGCCGGACCCACAAAAAUAACGCAAAAACUCUUUGUCAUUUUACUUAUUUUGGUCACGAUCCCCUGCGCUUGCUGGAGUCCAUACUUUGAUGCAUUUUCUUGCUCGCUUGACUCAAACAGACCCUAAUCGCUUCUUCUUCUUCUUCACAGUAGUAGACAUCUGUGCUUUGUUGUGGAAAGAUUACAUCACACUCAAAGCAGAAAUUACGGCUGCCGUAACCUUAGAAGGCUAACAGCGGUCCAUCCGGGUUAGACGGAAUAUGUGAAACCGAAAAGGGAGUGCAGAAUCCUUUGUUUUCUCAGAGUGUUUUCAGAAAUGCUCAGUGGGUGGCGGGAGAGGGAUAGAGGUUAUAACGGCAUGACUGAAUCCACGGUAGCGGGGUGUCGGAACAGGACAUGCAGCGCACCGGCGGUUCUAAGCAUCUGCUCAUGGGAAAAAUCAAUCGCCUAAUUUCCAAGGUGAAGCUGGCGGAUUUUACGUGGAGAGAAAAAAAAAAAAAGAUCCAAUUCUAAAAAUGUGUUGCAUCUCAAAUGCAUCUUUCUCUCUCUGAGAGCAUCCAGAUAUCUCUUAUGGUGUAAUUGAAAACUCAGUGCCAUGCCACUACAACCAGAACAGUUUGGCCGGUGAAGCAUCUGCGAGCAGUUCUGGAUCUGGCUCGACUCUUUUGAGGCAGGCGCUGGCAGGCUGAUUAAAAAAAAAAAGUAGGAAAAAAAAAAAG